GACGAACGCUGGCGGCGUGCUUAACACAUGCAAGUCGAACGCUGAAGCUUGGUGCUUGCACUGGGUGGAUGAGUGGCGAACGGGUGAGUAAUACGUGAGUAACCUGCCCUUGACUCUGGGAUAAGCCUGGGAAACUGGGUCUAAUACUGGAUACAACAUGCCACUGCAUGGUGGUGUGUGGAAAGGGUUUUACUGGUUUUGGAUGGGCUCACGGCCUAUCAGCUUGUUGGUGGGGUAAUGGCCUACCAAGGCGACGACGGGUAGCCGGCCUGAGAGGGUGACCGGCCACACUGGGACUGAGACACGGCCCAGACUCCUACGGGAGGCAGCAGUGGGGAAUAUUGCACAAUGGGCGGAAGCCUGAUGCAGCGACGCCGCGUGAGGGAUGACGGCCUUCGGGUUGUAAACCUCUUUCAGCACGGAAGAAGCGAGAGUGACGGUACGUGCAGAAGAAGCGCCGGCUAACUACGUG
rnacentral:rRNA from 1 species